rnacentral:rRNA from 1 species
UACGUAGGGGGCAAGCGUUGUUCGGAAUUACUGGGCGUAAAGGGCUCGUAGGUGGCCAACUAAGUCAGACGUGAAAUCCCUCGGCUUAACCGGGGAACUGCGUCUGAUACUGGAUGGCUGGAGAUUGGGAGAGGGAUGCGGAAUUCCAGGUGUAGCGGUGAAAUGCGUAGAUAUCUGGAGGAACACCGGUGGCGAAGGCGGCAUCCUGGACCAACACUGACGCUGAGGAGCGAAAGCCAGGGGAGCAAACGGG